AGAUGCAGUGAAGCUUGCAUAACUCGAGAUUCAUUCUUUCUUUCAGUUUCAUCCAACUGAGAAUAUUGUGCUUGUGUUUUAUGCAGCUGUCAGUUCUUUUGACCCAUUUUGCUCUUUCACUCCAUUUUGCUCAAUGUUAUUUUUCUUAUGCUUCAUCCAGUUCAACUGCCAUGGUCAGAAGAGCUCAUCUUUCACCACAAGCAAAGCGAG
rnacentral:misc_RNA from 1 species